AUGGCGUCUUCCUCCGCUCGCCGGCUCGCCGCCCACUGGCACUGGGUCGUCGACGCCCUCGCCGGCGACGAGGCCCUCGACUUCUCCCUCAUCCAAGCGCUGGUGGGCGCCUCGCCGGAGCCGCUCGCGGGCGCGCCGGAGGCAACGCGGGAGAGGCUCGCGCUCCGAUGCCUGCAGGAGGUCGUCUCCGUCGCCGCCCAGGGCGAGGCCCCGGCUGCGGCGGCGGCGGCGGCGGGGGUGGGGGGCAGGACGAUGCUUAGGGUUGAUGCCGCCCGCUCCUGCGAGGAGUUGCUGCUGGAGCUACUCGGACAGGUUGGUAGUUCAGGAAGCCUGGAGAAAGAUAUGGUUCUGCCUUUUAUCAAGGAUAUCCAAAAGUUUAUAUGUACCAAAACACCGGCUUUACCAGAAACUUCUUUUGAGUUGCUUAGAGAAGUGAUCCCAGAUUUCGCAUCUAUGGUCCCACCGUCCCCAGUGCAGCAGGGUGGCAAGAACAAUGGCAAUGACCAGUCGUUCUGCAGCAUCAGCCCUGAUCAUGUAAACACAGAGAGGCAUGGGUGCCAUACAGAUAGUUCUGAUUUUCAGCGACAGAAGGAUCCUAUGGAGCGAACUCCAGAUUUGCAUGAACCAUCUAGGCUGUACAAUAGGUGUUACGAUCGCCCUCAAGAAGAUACCAUUGGUGUCAGUGUCAGGUCCGCACAAAUGAGUCCAAGUAAAGAUAGUAGAAAAAUGUCCAUUACAACUGAGCCUGCUUCAGCUAGCUGCAGUGCUGCUUUGCUCCGAAGUAAUACUGAACUUAUGUCAAAGCAGGAUGCGGUGGAGACUACCAUGUCCCAAGAAAAGAGUCCUACUACCAUUCUUCAGCAAGAAUCCUGUGGAGACAAGUACAGAAAUCCAUGCCACGAUAAUGAUGGAGAGAGACCACAUGGUGAUGACACCAACAUUCAUUUAUCAAAGAAUCUCAGUCAUGAAGGAUUGACCAUGCAGGCUAUGGUGGCUCCAGAUUCUGACAGAACUAAUGCUUUAUGGACAAAUACAUUUGAAACAAAUCACUUGCCUGAGUUUGUUGCUGCAGAUGUUACAGGCGUGAUGACAGAAUUACAUGGCAGAAAAACCCAAAGGAAUUCACUGCAACAUGACAGUGGCGAGACAGCAGUUCAAGUUCUGGAUGAGGGUAGUGCCAGGAUUCAGCUAGUGGAAAAGGGUCCUGGUCAUAAUGAACUGAAUCUGCAAACUGCUGGUGUUGUACCUUCUGUAAGCUGCAACAGGGCUGUUCAAGGAGAUAAAUCUGAAACCAACCUUCAACAAGAGAAUGCUACAGGGCAUUCUAAAAUAUUUGAGAAGAAUGGCGUUAAGGCUCAUCUCGAGGUCAGUUGUGCUGACAAAGCUAAUCCAGCACUACUUGAUGAUGUCAACAUCUUGGAAAAUAAUACAUCCGGUGGUAGGCAGACUGCUCUAGAUUCUCCUUGCUGCAAUGUGCCGUCCUCUAGUCAGGAUAAAGAUGCCAAUGGUUCCAUCAAGGGCCUUACGGAGCAAGAUUUGUGCAUAAAAUGUGGUAAAGAUGGACAGUUGCUGAAAUGUAGCAGCUGCUCAUUAGCCGCCCAUGAUGGCUGUUUUGGUUCACCAGUGACUUUUGAUGCUUCUGGCCAGUUUCAUUGCCCUGUAUGCUUCUAUACUAAAGCUACCGAAGCAUAUCAAAAGGCUAAAAAAGCAUAUUUCGAAGCUAGGAAGAACCUAUCUGCUUUCCUUGGCACAAAGCAAUUCCCAAAGCUAGAUGAACAAUCUACUGGAAAACAACAAAUAGCUACCAACAGCAAGGAUCACUUGAAUGAGUGUAAUACAUCCAAAAGGCAAGGUAACCAUCAAUCUGAAGCGGAUAAUCUUUCUCAUAUGGAUGAAGAACCUAGUCUGCAGAGGAAUAAGCAGAGAACAAAUGAUACAAGUGUUGCGUGUCCUGAGGAUCAGUUGAAUGGGUGUAAUACAUCCGAAAGGCAAGGGAACCAUCAGUCUGAAGCUGACAACCUUUCUCAUAAGGAUGAAGAACCUGGUGAGCAGAGGAAGAAGCAGAAAACAAAUGAUACAAGUGAUGCAUGUCCUGAGGAGGAUCAGUUGAAUGGGUGUAAUACUUCCAAAAGGCAAGGUAACAAUAAGUCUAAUGCAUAUAACCUUUCUCAUAAGGAUUUAGAACCUGGUCAGCAGAGGAAGAAGCAGAAGACAAAUGCGACAAGUGAUGCUUGUUGUGAGGAGGUAGUCACUGAAAAGGCAUCUUUUGGUCUGAAUUCUAAUAUUGCACCAAAUAAAGAUUCUGUACUCCAAAAUAAAAGAAAACAAGUUCAUGUUACAGAGCAUGAGCAGUCUGUGGAAAAUGCAGAAGCCCAUGAAGAUGGUAACGGCAAUUCAUUUUGUGAACCGCAACAUUCAUCUCAGAACAGAUGUAGUCCUGUUGUCAGUCAGAAUGUUGAGGCUGAUAAACAUGUCAGUCUUACAACUUCUCAUGAGUGUGAAAGUUCCGAUGAAAUAGAAGCUACGUCUUCAAAUGAUUCUGGCAAGCAGUUGUCACCCCCUUGGCGAAACAUGAGACACCACAAAGCAAAAUUUCAAGAAAAGGAGACUGUAGUAUCAAAAAAUUCUAAAAAGGCAUUGGGAUGCCAGGAUCAGCACAUGCCUUCACCAUCAAGAAAACGGAAGUAUGCACCACCCAAGCGUUACUGUAAUCCUGUUGCACCAGCUGGAAGGCGCUCAAAGCUCUGUUGGACAGAAGAAGAAGAGCAAACUUUGAGGGAUGCAAUGUUAAAAUUCACCCCAAAGGACGAUGAGCUGAUUCCAUGGAUUCAGAUAUUAGAAUAUGGUAGGAAUGUGUUUCACAAGGCACGCCUCCCGAGUGAUCUGAGAGUCAAAUGGAGGAAUAUGAAGAAGAAAUCAGAAUCCUAGUAUUGACUGGCCAUCUGACACCUUAUGCAGCAAUUGUGCCAUGUCUGCCUAACCCAUUAUUAACCUCCUCGAGCUAGCCACUUGUUCAUCGGACACCUAAUGCAGCAAAGGAGCAAGACGAGGAGGAGCUGGUGCUGGGGUUGGAUAUCACCUAGUCCUCAGGGGAGCAGCAAGAGUGAACGGAGCACGCGGCGGCCAAGGAGGCGCGUGGUGCAGCCGCCCAAGAAAGCCAGGAACGCGUCUGGGGGCGACAAGGAGCCCGAUUUCCUCGGGGAGCCCUUCAACGCCGAUGAGGCACGCACCAAGUGGCCACAACGCUACCAGCAAGGCCCCGCAAAGAGGCCAGAUGAGGAGGACGACGUCAUGGCGCGGUGCCAAUACCGCUCUGCCAAGGUUGACGACGUAGUCUACACGCUGGGCGACGACGACUAUGUCAUGGUUUUGGGGUGCGGCCGCGCGUUGGGCGCACCCACGACCCAUCGGACAAACGCGGACAUGGGCGAACCCAUCGGCGCCCCAAAGGGACAAAAUCCGGCCAAACCGGACGUCCGUUUGGGGUCGCGCGGUGGAGUUGGCCUUAGUGUGUUCUCCCUGAACUUCAAAUACACCGAGGAAGUCUGCUUUCCUCCGUGAAACUCAUGUACUUGUAUUCUGUUGCUUCGUUCGUUCAUUGUAGCACGGGGGAAACCCUUGUUUUUGUAAAAUAAUACUCCCUCCGUAAAGAAAUAUAAGAGUAUUUAGAUAAUUAAAGUAGUGAUCUAAAUCCUCUUAUAUUUCUUUACAGAGGGAGUAGUAAUUGCUCCGCUUGCAUAGAAUAGCUACUGUUUACAUCUGUAUACAGAUGGCUUGACACAUGCAUAAAGAUGCUCCCGAUAGGAUUUGAAGCGGGGUAGUUUAGAACAUUUGGAUUUUCUUACAAAGGCUCUAUUCAUUUCUGGCAUUAUGAUUUUUCGAUUGUAUGAUGGAUGCUCUAAAUGUUGCUUAACCUGGACCUAACUUGCAAAGUUAGUACUUGUUUACACCCUAUUCUCCACUGCAAACUUAUAUGAAUCUAUGGCUCUUUAUCCAAAAAGUUCCACUUUGAUUAAAAUGCGUAACGAUCAGAUAGUUGAGCUCUUAUAUUGCUAUCACUCUUUAUAAUCACUGUAUCUUAAAUCGUUGUUUUCUUUUGCCAUU